GAGUUUGAUCCUGGCUCAGAACGAACGCUGGCGGCGUGGCUAAGACAUGCAAGUCGAACGGUCCGGUAUUUUUUGUUUACAAAUUGUGCCGGAUAGUGGCGAAAGGGUGAGUAAUGGGUAGGUAACGUACCUCGUGCUUCGGGAUAGCGUCUGUUUACCUUCGGGUAAACUUCCGAAAGGGGCAGUAAUACCGAAUAAUAUCAGGUCUCGCAAGGUAUCUGAUCAAAGAUUUAUCGGCAUAAGAGCGGCCUACCUCCUAUCAGCUUGUUGGUGAGGUAAAGGCUCACCAAGGCUAUGACGGGUAGCGGGACUGAGAGGUUGGCCCGCCACAUCGGGACUGAGACACUGCCCGGACCUCCACGGAGGGCUGCAGUAACGAAUCUUGCGCAAUGGGCGAAAGCCUGACGCAGCGACGCCGCGUGCGGGAAGAAGUCCUUAGGGAUGUAAACCGCUGUCAGGGGGAAGAAAGUGCGCUCCGGCGCAUUGAUCCAACCCAGAGGAAGUCACGGCUAACUUCGUGCCAGCAGCCGCGGUAAGACGAAGGUGGCUAGCGUUGUUCGGUAUUACUGGGCUUAAAGCGUGUGUAGGCGGAAGAGUAAGCGCCUUGUGAAAUCCCUCGGCUUAACCGAGGAAUUGCUUGGCGAACUGCUUUUCUUGAGGCAAGUAGGGGUGCAUGGAACUCUUGGUGGAGCGGUGGAAUGCGUAGAUAUCAAGAGGAACGCCGGUAGUGAAAACGGUGCACUGGGCUUGUCCUGACGCUGAGACACGAAAGCGUGGGUAGCGAACGGGAUUAGAUACCCCGGUAGUCCACGCCGUAAACGAUGCCUACUAGGUUGUGGUGGUUCUGACACCAGCACAGCCGAAGCAAAAGUGUUAAGUAGGCCGCCUGGGGAGUACGGUCGCAAGGCUAAAACUCAAAGGAAUUGACGGGGGCUCACACAAGCGGUGGAGCAUGUGGAUCAAUUCGAAGCAACGCGUAGAACCUUACCUGGGUUUGACAUGCUUGGAUGCUUGCUUGGAAACAGGUUAAGCUGCCCUUCGGGGUGAAACUUGCACAGGUGCUGCAUGGCUGUCGUCAGCUCGUGUCGUGAGAUGUCGGGUUAAGUCCUUUAACGAGCGAAACCCUUGCCGUUAGUUGCCAGCGGGUCAUGCCGGGGACUCUAGCGGGACUGCCGGUGUUAAACCGGAGGAAGGUGGGGACGACGUCAAGUCAUCAUGGCCUUUAUGUCCAGGGCUUCACACGUGCUACAAUGGUCGGUACAGAGCGACACGAGACCGUGAGGUGGAGCAAAUCGCAAAAGCCGGCCCCAGUUCGGAUUGCAGGCUGUCAACUCGCCUGCAUGAAGUUGGAAUCGCUAGUAAUCGCGUAUCAGCUACGACGCGGUGAAUGUGUUCCUGAGCCUUGCACAC
rnacentral:rRNA from 1 species